rnacentral:rRNA from 1 species
GGAUGCGAUCAUACCAGCACUAAAGCACCGGAUCCCAUCAGAACUCCGAAGUUCAGCGUGC